rnacentral:ncRNA from 1 species
AUAUGGGGUGACACCAGCGCAUGCCGCACAUAUGCAGCCCUUCCUGUGUGGUACACGCUGCGGAAGUGCAAGGCUUCUCUAUGAUGGUUGCAGUAGAGCAAGCGUACCCGUUUCCUUGCUGGUUCUCAGUGAGGAAGCAGCCGCGUGCAAGGUCCCGUUGCGCGGUCUCGACAAAGGGCACCACCACCACAACAUACAUAUCAACUGAUGCAAUGAAGAAGCCUGGGGGCUCUUCUUCGCUGCGAUUCAUGCCACGCGGUCGGAUGUCUAUGUAAUCGCGCAUAGUCAGAAGCCCAGUCGGGCGCACACCAGCAGACAUACGGACCUAGUUGGGCGCGACCUGAUGUGGGAGCGGCCACCGGGGCGGGAGAGGAGUGAGUAGCAAAUAAAAACUGACGCGCAUGAAUGGAUAAAUGGCUCUUCCUAUCUUUGCGAAGCAGAAUUCGCCAAGCGUUGGAUUGUUCAGCCACUAAUAGGGAACGUGAGCUGGGUUUAGACCGUCGUGAGACAGGUUAGUUUUACCCUACUGUUGACUAAUUGUUGCGAUAGUAAUCCUGCUUAGUACGAGAGGAACAGCAGGUUCAGACAUUUGGUUCAUGGACUUGACCGAUCGUUCAAUGGUCCGAAGCUAACAUCUGGGAGAUCAUGACUGAACGCCUCUAAGUCAGAAUCCCACCUAGUCAAGGCAGCAAUAACUUUGUUUCCCGGUGUCGGGAGGCAACUCUCUCUCGUGGCAACACGAGAGCUCGUGCCCCAGUAUGUGGCCUUGCCGGUAUGGAUGAUCCCUGCUGGUUGCUAAAGCCAGAUCAUUCUGGUUCAAUGUCGGGGUGCAAAAUCACAUGUCUACGACAUGUAUACUGGUCAAGGUGUUGUAUCCAGUAGAGCAGUGUUUGUAUACUGCAAUCUGUUGAGACUAUCCUAGCCGAAAGGAAAAU